ACAGAACAGGGACUCAAAAAGCAACAUCAGAGUUGGAGUAGCUUGUGGAAGAAGCAAGUGAAGUUCUGUAAAGCAGUCUUAUUAAUGGUAUUUCUUGAGCCCGCAAGCAAGGCAAAUGCAACACACUCGUUCCCACGAAACAACCAGCACAGGAAAUUUCUGUGGCUAAACCACGCUGUAAUGGAAAUCACAACACAGUCAAGCCCACCAUUCUGGUGGAAGAACAAAACCCAAAUGAAACCCGUCAAAUGGUUAUGCAACUUUUACUACAUAUAACAUGGUUACGUGCUUUAGGGGGGUGGGCAAUAAAAAAUAAUAGAUAUACUAAAGACUAUCUAAAUACCCUUUAUAGGAAAUCCAAUAAAAAAGUAUGUUGGAAAUACAAAA
rnacentral:antisense_RNA from 1 species